rnacentral:rRNA from 1 species
UCCUUAUGGAGCGAAGUCUUUGAUUCCCCGCUGCCAAGAAAAGCUUCUAGCGAGAUAAAAGGUGCCUGUACCGCAAACCGACACAGGUAGGCGAGGAGAGAAUCCUAAGGUGUGCGAGAGAACUCUGGUUAAGGAACUCGGCAAAAUGACCCCGUAACUUCGGGAGAAGGGGUGCUUUCUUAACGGAAAGCCGCAGUGAAUAGGCCCAAGCGACUGUUUAGCAAAAACACAGCUCUCUGCGAAGCCGUAAGGCGAAGUAUAGGGGGUGACACCUGCCCGGUGCUGGAAGGUUAAGGAGAGGGGUUAGCGUAAGCGAAGCUCUGAACUGAAGCCCCAGUAAACGGCGGCCGUAACUAUAACGGUCCUAAGGUAGCGAAAUUCCUUGUCGGGUAAGUUCCGACCCGCACGAAAGGUGUAACGAUUUGGGCACUGUCUCAACCAGAGACUCGGUGAAAUUAUAGUACCUGUGAAGAUGCAGGUUACCCGCGACAGGACGGAAAGACCCCGUGGAGCUUUACUGUAGCCUGAUAUUGAAUUUUGGUACAGUUUGUACAGGAUAGGCGGGAGCCAUUGAAACCGGAGCGCUAGCUUCGGUGGAGGCGCUGGUGGGAUACCGCCCUGACUGUAUUGAAAUUCUAACCUACGGGUCUUAUCGACCCGGGAGACAGUGUCAGGUGGGCAGUUUGACUGGGGCGGUCGCCUCCUAAAGUGUAACGGAGGCGCCCAAAGGUUCCCUCAGAAUGGUUGGAAAUCAUUCGUAGAGUGCAAAGGCAUAAGGGAGCUUGACUGCGAGACCUACAAGUCGAGCAGGGACGAAAGUCGGGCUUAGUGAUCCGGUGGUUCCGCAUGGAAGGGCCAUCGCUCAACGGAUAAAAGCUACCCCGGGGAUAACAGGCUUAUCUCCCCCAAGAGUCCACAUCGACGGGGAGGUUUGGCACCUCGAUGUCGGCUCAUCGCAUCCUGGGGCUGUAGUCGGUCCCAAGGGUUGGGCUGUUCGCCCAUUAAAGCGGUACGCGAGCUGGGUUCAGAACGUCGUGAGACAGUUCGGUCCCUAUCCGUCGUGGGCGUAGGAAAUUUGAGAGGAGCUGUCCUUAGUACGAGAGGACCGGGAUGGACGCACCGCUGGUGUACCAGUUGUUCUGCCAAGGGCAUAGCUGGGUAGCUAUGUGCGGAAGGGAUAAGUGCUGAAAGCAUCUAAGCAUGAAGCCCCCCUCAAGAUGAGAUUUCCCAUAGCGUAAGCUAGUAAGAUCCCUGAAAGAUGAUCAGGUUGAUAGGUUCGAGGUGGAAGCAUGGUGACAUGUGGAGCUGACGAAUACUAAUAGAUCGAGGACUUAACCAU